AUUGAACGCUGGCGGCAUGCUUUACACAUGCAAGUCGAACGGCAACACGGGGGCAACCCUGGUGGCGAGUGGCGAACGGGUGAGUAAUACAUAGGAACGUAUCCUGAAAUGGGGGAUAGCUCGGCGAAAGCCGGAUUAAUACCGCAUACGAUCUACGGAUGAAAGCAGGGGAUUCGCAAGAACCUUGCGUUUCUGGAGCGGCCUAUGUCUGAUUAGCUAGUUGGCGGGGAAAAGCCCACCAAGGCGACGACGGGUAGCCGGCCUGAGAGGGCGACCGGCCACACUGGGACUGAGACACGGCCCAGACUCCUACGGGAGGCAGCAGUGGGGAAUAUUGCACAAUGGGCGAAAGCCUGAUGCAAGCGACGCCGCGUGAGGGAUGACGGCC
rnacentral:rRNA from 1 species